CCGACCUACGGGGGGCAGCAGUUAGGAAUAUUCGUCAAUGGGGGAAACCCUGAACGAGCAAUGCCGCGUGAACGAUGACGGUCCUCUGGAUUGUAAAGUUCUGUUGUUUGGGAAGAACGGCUCUAAUAGGAAAUGAUUAGAGAUUGACUGUACCAUUCAAGAAAGCCACGGCUAACUACGUGCCAGCAGCCGCGGUAAUACGUAGGUGGCAAGCGUUGUCCGGAUUUAUUGGGCGUAAAGCGAGUGCAGGCGGUUCAAUAAGUCUGAUGUGAAAGCCUUCGGCUCAACCGGAGAAUUGCAUCAGA
rnacentral:rRNA from 1 species